CACACCGCCCGUCAAGCCACGAAAGCUGGUGGCACCUAACGUCGCUGAGCUAACCGCAAGGAAGCAGGCGCCUAAGGUGAAACUGGUGAUUGGGACU
rnacentral:rRNA from 1 species